ACCCGCUGAACUUAAGCAUAUCAAUAAGCGGAGGAAAAGAAACCAACUGGGAUUGCCCUAGUAACGGCGAGUGAAGCGGCAAUAGCUCAAAUUUGAAAUCUGGCUCCUUCUUGGGGUCCGAGUUGUAAUUUGCAGAGGGUGCUUUGGCAUUGGUAGCGGUCUAAGUUCCUUGGAACAGGACAUCGCAGAGGGUGAGAAUCCCGUUUGUGGUCGCUUGCCUUUGCCGUGUAAAGCCCCUUCGACGAGUCGAGUUGUUUGGGAAUGCAGCUCUAAAUGGGAGGUAAAUUUCUUCUAAAGCUAAAUACUGGCACGAGACCGAUAGCGCACAAGUAGAGUGAUCGAAAGAUGAAAAGCACUUUGGAAAGAGAGUCAAACAGCACGUGAAAUUGUUGAAAGGGAAGCGCUUGCAGCCAGACUUGCUUGUAGUUGCUCACCUAGGCUUUGGCCUGGGGCACUCUUCUAUAAGCAGGCCAGCAUCAGUUUAGGCGGUUGGAUAAAGCCCUCUGUCACGUAUCUUCCUUCGGGAUGACCUUAUAGGGGAGGCGACAUGCAACCAGCCUGGACUGAGGACCGCGCUUCGGCUAGGAUGCUGGCGUAAUGGCUGUAAGCGGCCCGUCUUGAAACACGG
rnacentral:rRNA from 1 species